ACCUUUGGGCGAGCAUCGAAAGCCACACCGCUUGAAAACUUUGUAUGGAACUCAACCUUUAAGUUCGUCUCAUCUCUAAAUUUUAUCGACUUUUUCGAAAUCAGCUGUUUAUCCGAAAAUGCCCAGCUGAGUAGCUGUCAUUUGCUGUGAGAAUUUACUAUCUGAAAAGCUAAUUUUUGGUCGAAAAAUACCGGUUGUAUCUUCUUGAGCAAACGCUCUUUUGGUGGUGAACUUUUGAAUCGAAGAACGAGUAAAUACCCUUACUGAUUUCAAUAUUAAAAGCAUAUAACCUUUAUCAGCACCAAUAGAUGUUAUUAUCACCAAAUGUCGAAAGGUUAUCAGCGAUCUCUUAUAUAUAGAAGAUGAGUGACCGCAAGAGACACGGAUGUUGAUGUGAAUAAAAUUUAAUUUUUACCUCAAGUGGAAUUUUAGGCGAAAAUGCAAGUUCAUAACAUCAUCCCUCGUGCCAUCUGUACGCUCAGCACGAGAACUCAAAUAUCCAACGCCUCCAAUAAAGCGAUCAAUCGGCGGCCUACGGCUCAAGCUUCAUUUGUUGAAGUGAUUCGCCUACGAUCACAUUUUUCACCUAUUUGCAAAUUAUACGAAGUAAAGUCGGGAUUCGGCAGGUUUGGGGCACAUUUUUCAACGGUGAGCACUUUUGCUUUUGAUAUAUACUUCAGUUAUAUAAGUAUUUGUGAGUAAAAUUACAAAAGUUAAGUGAAAUAGUUAAGUGUGUUUUGUUUCAGUUUUGAUUUCAUACACCGCGUGCAGAUUUGUUUAUUUUCUAACGCGUCAAGUUUUGUUUG